rnacentral:rRNA from 1 species
GACGAACGCUGGCGGCGUGCCUAAUACAUGCAAGUCGAACGCAGUGGGGACGGGUGAGUAACACGUGGGUAACCUCCCCAUCAGAGGGGAUAACACUUGGAAACAGGUGCUAAACCGAUACUGAUGGAUGGACCCGCGGUGCAUUAGCUAGUUGGUGGGGUAACGGCUCACCAAGGCCACGAUGCAUAGCGGACCGGAGAGGGUGAGCGGCCACACUGGGACUGAGACACGGCCCAGACUCCUACGGGAGGCAGCAGUGGGGAAUCUUGGACAAUGGACGAAAGUCUGAUCGAGCCACGCCGCGUGAGUGAAGAAGGUUUUCGGAUCGUAAAACACUUUUGGUAGAGAAGCGGUAUCUAAACAGAAAGCCACGGCUAACUACGUGCCAGCAGCCGCGGUAAUUC